rnacentral:rRNA from 1 species
CCUACGGGAGGCAGCAGUGAGGAAUAUUGGUCAAUGGACGAGAGUCUGAACCAGCCAAGUAGCGUGAAGGAUGACUGCCCUAUGGGUUGUAAACUUCUUUUAUAUGGGAAUAAAAUGUUCCACGUGUGGGAUUUUGUAUGUACCAUAUGAAUAAGGAUCGGCUAACUCCGUGCCAGCAGCCGCGGUAAUACGGAGGAUCUGAGCGUUAUCCGGAUUUAUUGGGUUUAAAGGGAGCGUAGGUGGAUUGUUAAGUCAGUUGUGAAAGUUUGCGGUCCAACCGUAAAAUUGCAGUUGAAACUGGCAGUCUUGAGUACAGUAGAGGUAGGCGGAAUUCGUGGUGUAGCGGUGAAAUGCUUAGAUAUCACGAAGAACUCCGAUUGCGAAGGCAGUUCACUGGACUGCAACUGACACUGAGGCUCGAAAGUGUGGGUAUCAAACAGGAUUAGAUACCCCAGUAGUC